GGAGGAAAGUAGGGGAUCGAAAGACCUUGCGCUAAAGGAGCGGCUGAUGUCUGAUUAGCUAGUUGGUGAGGUAAAGGCUCACCAAGGCAACGAUCAGUAGCCGGUCUGAGAGGACGGCCAGCCACACUGGGACUGAGACACGGCCCAGACUCCUACGGGAGGCAGCAGUGGGGAAUUUUGGACAAUGGGCGAAAGCCUGAUCCAGCCAUGCCGCGUGAGUGAAGAAGGCCUUCGGGUUGUAAAGCUCUUUUAGUCGGAAAGAAAAGAUUGUGAUAAAUAAUCAUGAUUUAUGACGGUACCGACAGAAAAAGCACCGGCUAACUACGUGCCAGCAGCCGCGGUAAUACGUAGGGUGCAAGCGUUAAUCGGAAUUACUGGGCGUAAAGGGUGCGCAGGCGGUUUUGCAAGUCAGAUGUGAAAUCCCCGGGCUUAACCUGGGAAUUGCGUUUGAAACUACAAGGCUAG
rnacentral:rRNA from 1 species